UGGUGAAUUUCAGCCAAAGUGGCCAAAGAAC
rnacentral:piRNA from 2 species